AUACAUGCAAGUCGAGCGGACUGAUGGGAGCUUGCUCCCUGAAGUCAGCGGCGGACGGGUGAGUAACACGUGGGUAACCUGCCUGUAAGACUGGGAUAACUCCGGGAAACCGGGGCUAAUACCGGAUAGUUCUUUUCCUCGCAUGAGGAAAAGUGGAAAGGCGGCUUCGGCUGCCACUUACAGAUGGACCCGCGGCGCAUUAGCUAGUUGGUGAGGUAACGGCUCACCAAGGCAACGAUGCGUAGCCGACCUGAGAGGGUGAUCGGCCACACUGGGACUGAGACACGGCCCAGACUCCUACGGGAGGCAGCAGUAGGGAAUCUUCCGCAAUGGACGAAAGUCUGACGGAGCAACGCCGCGUGAGUGAUGAAGGUUUUCGGAUCGUAAAGCUCUGUUGUUAGGGAAGAACAAGUGCCGUUCGAAUAGGGCGGCACCUUGACGGUACCUAACCAGAAAGCCACGGCUAACUACGUGCCAGCAGCCGCGGUAAUACGUAGGUGGCAAGCGUUGUCCGGAAUUAUUGGGCGUAAAGCGCGCGCAGGCGGUCUCUUAAGUCUGAUGUGAAAGCCCACGGCUCAACCCGUGGAGGGUCAUUGGAAACUGGGGGACUUGAGUACAGAAGAGGAAAGU
rnacentral:rRNA from 1 species